CCGAGCAUAAAAUAAUGAUCUCCUCUGAAAAGGGGUCAUAAGGAAAGGAAACCGGAACGUCAAGUGGACAAGCCGGUGGUGACGUGCGUUUGAAGGGUGUGCUUUAAAGGUA